AUGGAAGUCGUGGAGGGCUGUGACGAGCAAGACGAGAAGACGGUGCAUAGAAUAUGCGAGGUGGCGUUCUGGUGCGUGCAGCAGCAGCCGGAGGCGAGGCCACCGAUGGGUGUGGUGGUGAAGAUGCUUGAGGGCGAGAAGGACAUUGCUCCGCCGGCGAACCCGUUCCAGCAUCUCAUGGCAGCGCAGGCGGCGGCAAAUCGGUGGACCACGGUGACGAGCUCCGUGAACACGGCGUCGACUCCCGCAAAUGGUGUUUCUCGUGGUAGCAACGAGAUUGUUUAA
rnacentral:rRNA from 1 species